AAUUGCUCGGGCAUUCAACCAGGCUACGUGUAUGCGGAAAUUCCUUGUUACCAUCUUGUCGCUAGAUGAUGGGCGAGCACGAAAGAAAAGAGCAAGUAAUUGCUCCCCUGUGCAGCUGUAGAAACUGUAAUUGCUGGACCUGUUUGUGGUGAUAGUUUCCUGAUUCAAGAGUCUUCUUUUAGGCCCAUCAUUGUUAUAAAUGCCAUUAGAAAUUAUAGGUUUUAGCAUAAUUCGUACAAAGAACAACUCUAAUCAUUUUAAUGGCUUUCUGGGAUUCGGCUAGAACAUACCAGUAACUCAAAUGUAAUGCAUUA
rnacentral:misc_RNA from 1 species